AAAUUCCCCAGGGGGGGGGUGGACAAUAAAUAACAAUGCCGAGCCUUUCAGGUUUGGCACUUGGAAUGAGUACAACUCAAACCACUUAACGAGGAUCAAUUGGAGGGCAAGUCUGGUGCCAGCAGCCGCGGUAAUUCCAGCUCCAAUAGCGUAUAUUAAAGUUGUUGCAGUUAAAAAGCUCGUAGUUGGAUGUGUGUCGGUUGUAGGAUCCCAUCUUUGGUUUCCUACGAACCGGCAUCUGUAGGUGGAAUUAGUGUGGCAUUAGGUUGUCAUGUUGAGGAUACCUACCAUUUACUGUGAAAAAAUCAGCGCGUUCAAAGCAGGCUUAUGCCAUUGAAUGUAUUAGCAUGGAAUAAUAAGAUAGGACCGUGGUACUAUUUUGUUGGUUUGCGCACCAAGGUAAUGAUUAAUAGGGACUGUCGGGGGUAUUCGUAUUCCAUUGUCAGAGGUGAAAUUCUUGGAUUUCUGGAAGACGCACUACUGCGAAAGCAUUUACCAAGGAUGUUUUCAUUAAUCAAGAACGAAAGUUAGGGGAUCGAAGAUGAUUAGAUACCAUCGUAGUCUUAACCAUAAACUAUGCCGACAAGGGAUUGGUGGGGUUCCGUAAUGUCUCCAUCAGCACCUUUAGAAAAAUUCCC
rnacentral:rRNA from 1 species